CGCGGGGUGGAGCAGCACGGUAGCUCGUCGGGCUCAUAACCCGAAGGUCGCAGGUUCAAAUCCUGCCCCCGCCA
rnacentral:tRNA from 1 species